UGGCCAAAAAGUUCAUUCGGGAUUUUCCCUAAUAUGUUAUGGAAAAACCCAAACGAAGUUGUUGGCCAA
rnacentral:miRNA from 1 species